CAGCCUGGGCCCCAGAGUGAACACCAUGCAGAACAGAGAUGUGGAUGGAUCAUGAGCAAGAAACAAACCUUGUUGUCAAGCAUGUGGCUACCUGCAGAAGAAGCUGACAUCCUGCGCUUCCACACACACUCCUGCACAGAACUUGAAGGUGAACGAGGGGAGACUCAGCUGGGAGGAGGUUCUCCUUUGCCCAUUAUUCUUCCUGGCCACAUCUAAAGUGGAUAUUGGUGAGUAUGCACUCCUUGGAGGCAAGCAACUUUUGCAGUCAACUUCUGGUUUGUUCAGGUUUGAGGUCCUGAUAGUUGUAUAAUGCUCUAUCUUGCAAAAUUUUAUUUUAUUUUAUAUUUUGGUCAGGUCUGUGAUAUUGUGGGUCAUGUCGCAGAAACUAUAUGGGCUUCUGGUUUAUUUUCUCCUAGGAAGUUUCAUUAAGUAACCACACUCUAAGUUCUUUCCUAGAUGUAACUCUCAAAUCUGUCUUCUUCUUCUUCCUCUUCUUCUUCUU
rnacentral:lncRNA from 1 species